AUACUUACCUGGCAGGGGUGACACCAUGAUCAAGCAGGUGGUUUGCCCAAGGUGAGGCUCUGUCAAUGCACUCUGACUGUGCUGACCCUUGUGAAUUCCCCAAAUGUGGGGAAGGUAAAAUGAGCAUUCAUUAGAAAACUGGACCAACUCCAAA
rnacentral:snRNA from 1 species